AACGAACGCUGGCGGCAUGCCUAACACAUGCAAGUCGAACGAGACCUUCGGGUCUAGUGGCGCACGGGUGCGUAACGCGUGGGAACCUGCCCUUAGGUUCGGAAUAACUCCCCGAAAGGGGUGCUAAUACCGGAUAAUGUCUUCGGACCAAAGAUUUAUCGCCUUUGGAUGGGCCCGCGUUGGAUUAGCUAGUUGGUAGGGUAAAAGCCUUCCAAGGCGACGAUCCAUAGCUGGUCUGAGAGGAUGAUCAGCCACACUGGGACUGAGACACGGCCCAGACUCCUACGGGAGGCAGCAGUGGGGAAUAUUGGACAAUGGGCGAAAGCCUGAUCCAGCAAUGCCGCGUGAGUGAUGAAGGCCUUAGGGUUGUGAAGCUCUUUUACCCGGGAUGAUAAUGACAGUACCGGGAGAAUAAGCUCCGGCUAACUCCGUG
rnacentral:rRNA from 1 species